UACGGAGGGUGCAAGCGUUAAUCGGAAUUACUGGGCGUAAAGCGUGCGUAGGCGGUUCGUUAAGUCUGUUGUGAAAGCCCCGGGCUCAACCUGGGAAUGGCAAUGGAUACUGGCGAGCUAGAGUGUGUCAGAGGAUGGUGGAAUUCCCGGUGUAGCGGUGAAAUGCGUAGAGAUCGGGAGGAACAUCAGUGGCGAAGGCGGCCAUCUGGGACAACACUGACCGCUGAGGCACGAAAGCGUGGGGAGCAAACAGGG
rnacentral:rRNA from 1 species